rnacentral:rRNA from 1 species
UGCAUGUCCAGUAUAAAUCUGGUUCAAGAUGAAACUGCGAAUGGCUCAUUAAAUCAGUUCUAGUUUCUUUGAUGGUGUCUUACUACAUGGAUAACCGUAGUAACAUAGAGCUAAUACGUGCUUGAAAUCCUGACUGGUGCUCUCGGGUGCCUGGAAUAGGAUGUAUUUAUUAGAUCCAAAACCAAUGCGUUGCUUGCGUGCUUUAAUCGGUGCGUGAGUGGCGGUUAUGUUGGUGAUUCAUGCUAACUUUUCGGAUCGCAUGGCCUUGUGCUGGCGAUGCUUCAUUCAAGUUUCUGCCCUAUCAACUGUCGAUGGUAGGGUAUUGGCCUACCAUGGUUGUAACGGGUGACGGAGAAUUAGGGUUCGGUUCCGGAGAGGGAGCCUGAGAAAUGGCUACCACAUCUAUGGAUGGCAGCAGGCGCGCAAAUUACCCAAUCCCGACCUGGGGAGGUAGUGACAAUAAAUAACAAUGCGGUCCUUAAUUGGUUCUGCAAUUGGAAUGAGAACAAUCUAAACACCUUAACGAGGAGCAAUUGGAGGGCAAGUCUGGUGCCAGCAGCCGCGGUAAUUCCAGCUCCAAUAGCGUAUAUUAAAGUUGUUGCAGUUAAAAAGCUCGUAGUUGGAUUUCGGAACGGUCGGGUUGGUCCGCCCUCCGUGGUGUGUUACUGGCCUUGGUGGUGUUGGUAGGGGGCUUGCCUCUGGCCUGCCGCCCUUGUUGCGUGUAUUGCGUGACAAGUGAUCGUUCUUCUCCCUCGGAGACGGAGUCUGUCCUUAGUUGGGCGGGCUCUGGAUGCGAGGUGUUUACUUUGAAAAAAUUAGAGUGUUCAAAGCAGGCUUCUAUCUUGGCUUGAAUACAUUAGCAUGGAAUAAUGGAAUAGGACUCUGUGUCUAUUUUGUUGGUUUGAAGGCAGAGAGUAAUGAUUAAUAGGGACAGUUGGGGGCAUUCGUAUUUAAUUGUCAGAGGUGAAAUUCUUGGAUUUCUGAAAGACGAACAACUGCGAAAGCAUUUGCCAAGGAUGUUUUCAUUAAUCAAGAACGAAAGUUAGGGGUUCGAAGACGAUCAGAUACCGUCGUAGUCCUAACCAUAAACAAUGCCGACUAGGAUCAGCGUGCGUUCGUUUUCAUUGGACGUCGUUGGCACCUUACGA